rnacentral:rRNA from 1 species
CAAUCUACCUUGGAGUGGGGAAUAACGGCUGGAAACAGCCGCUAAUACCGCAUGAUGCGUCUGGGCCGCAUGGCUCUGGGCGCCAAAGAUUCAUCGCUCUGAGAUGAGCUCGCGUCUGAUUAGCUAGUUGGCGGGGCAACGGCCCACCAAGGCGACGAUCAGUAGCCGGACUGAGAGGUUGGCCGGCCACAUUGGGACUGAGACACGGCCCAGACUCCUACGGGAGGCAGCAG